GGGCUUGCUUCGGCAGCACAUAUACUAAAACUGGAACGAUACAGAGAAGAUUAGCAUGGCCCCAGAACAAGGAUGACAUUCAAAUUCGUGAAGCAUUCCAUAUUUUU